rnacentral:siRNA from 1 species
AGGGGAAUCAACUCUGCCCACUGA